ensembl:lncRNA
UGAGUGGGAGUGGGUGUGGGGCUGUGGGUGUGGAUGGGAGUGGGAGUGGGUGAGUGGGUGAGUGGGAGUGGGUGUGAGUGUGUAAGUGGGAGUGGGUGUGGGAGUGGGAGUGGGUGUGAGUGGGAGUGGGUGUGGGGCUGUGGGUGUGUGGAGGGAUGGGAGUGGGAGUGGGUGUGAGUGGGAGUGGGAGUGGGUGUGAGUGGGAGUGGGUGUGGGUGUGAGUGGGAGUGGAGGGCUGGGAGUGGGAGUGGGUGAGUGUGUAAGUGGGAGUGGGUGUGGGUGUGGGAGUGUGUGUGUGUGGAGGGCUGGGAGUGGGAGUGGGUCAGUGUGUAAGUGGGAGUGGGUGAGUGGGAGUGUGUAAGGGAGUGUGUGUGGGUGUGUGUGUGUGGAGGGCUGGGAGUGGAAGUGAGUGUGAGUGGGAGUGGGUGUGAGUGUGUAAGUGGGAGUGGUAGGUGUGAGUGUGAGUGGGUGUGAGUGUGGAAGUGGGAGUGGGGCUGUGUGUGGGUGGAGGGAUGGGAGUGGGAGUGGGUGUGGGAGGGGGUGUGAGUGGGAGUGGGUGUGGGGCUGUGGGUGUGUGGAGGGAUGGGAGUGGGAGUGGGUGUGAGUGGGAGUGGGAGUGGGUGUGAGUGGG